UUCCAACUAUCUGUGAAACAUGAUAAAAAAAUUCUUAACACUUAGUUUACAAGUAGUGCAGUGAUCUGAAUCUAGUUUCCAGAGUAGUCUUAUAUAGCUGUCACUAAAAUUAUAAAGUAAACAAGAUUCAGUUUGAUAGCCAACUCACCUUGACGAUCAAUGUGGAGGCACCAAACAUGUUGGGAGUAUCAACUCCGUUUAGAUAAGCUUUGAUUUCAGGUAUACCAGGUCCAGCUGCAGUGGGUGCGAAACACACGCAGAGAACAGCGGCAACUGCGGUGAAUAGAAGAUUUGUCACAGCUAAAAAGAUGAACCCCAUCAGCAGCUGGGGAUAACAAAUGAAGUACAGGGAAUGCCACAAACCUUUCCUCAUCUAUGUAAGCAACCACAGCAAGAAGCUUGUAGCCUGCAAUAUUCUCAACGGCGAGGUUGAUGAGAGUGGCAAUUAGACCGGUUAGAAGUCCAAUGAGCCAGGCAAGCGUCCAUUUCAACAAUACAUACUGGAAGACUUGGACCUUGGAUCUGCUUCUCCAGUCGUGCUUAAACAGGUCAUUCUCAUUGAUCCUGCAUCGAACUAACUUCAGUUCAAUGUAAAAUCAAGACAAGGAAACCGGAAUUGCAUUACAAUGAAACAGAGGAGUUCGGAUAGUUACUCGUAGUCCAGACUCUCGAUGUGGGAGACUUUGGCUCCAACCAGAGCCAGUGGAUUGGAAGAGAGUGUUCUGUUUCUCUUGAGGAGUGGUUGGAUCAGUGAAUUGCUUUCUGGAUCUCUUUCUUCCGAUUCAACUUCUCCUUCCACGUUCUGGGGAAUUGCUGCUUCUGCAUAAUGGUUUGAAUGUUCCUCCAUCGAGCUAAUGGAAGCUCCACAGAGAGAGACAGAGAAGCUCAGACAGUAUGAAGCUAGUGCUCUGUUCUGAGUUUAGAAAUGGUGAGAAGCAGAGAAGAGAUCUCAUGCAACAUUUAUAGCGAGUAUAUUAAUAAUUACAUAUGGAUAGACACUUGUUCGAUUUUGUACAUACAUGACAACAGUGGCAUUUCUCUAUUCCAAUGAUUGAUUGAGGUCAUAGAUAGAUUUUCGUGCCGAAUAGGCCAAUGUGGUUAAUUCCGUCGAUGUGGGAGUUGGUCAAUAUGGUAAUUUUUCGAAUGGAUGAAACCUUAUCGAUUAUUAGGCUUGGACGUUUACCAUAACUGAAGUUGAAUAAUUGAAUUGCAUAAUGUGUUGCUUUCAA